AGAAAACGUAUGGACUGAGCAGCCAGAUAAAAGUUCCUCCAGGUUGCAGCACUACGUAGGAAAAUGUGCCCUUUUAGGGCAAGAGGGCAAGGUGUUUCAGAGAACAGGGCACUUGCAGAAGUGGGGUUAACACCAGCAGCCUGGACUGUCCCUACUGCAUACCUGCUGGCUUCAGUCUAUCAAACCUUACUCUCUAAAAGCAGGCUUACUCAUCUACAUGACACAGACAGCCUGAGGUGUAACAAGUGACCAAGGAAACAGCUUUGACCUCAGCUGGGGACAGGCAGUGUCUAACACGGUAUCAGCCAUGGCUCAGUAGCCAGUGUUGUGUUCCAGUGGCUUCUCUGAACGUCCCACAACCCAGCCACGUGGGCAUCAUUCAAGCUCAGCACCAGACGAAAACGCCAUUAGUACUGGUAUCAAACACCGGGCUCCCUCCGGCUCCUCGACAGGAGCUAGGAUAAGAAACGAAGGCCGCUAGAACUCCACGGAGCCAAAUCAGAACUUGACAAUCAGCACACAGUCUCUGUCCGCCCGUCAAUAAGUUCAUCACAUGUGGUUCCUGAGAACUCCAGAGGCCUUACGAAUUGCACCGACCGCCCAGAACCUGGAUAUCAUCCCAGAAGCCAUCCCACAACAUGUCUUAUGCCAAGCCAGCCAAGAGG